ensembl:snRNA Gm25818 predicted gene, 25818
AUACUUACCUGGCAGGGGAGAUACCAUGAUCGCGAAGGUGGUUUUCCCAGGGCGAGACUUAUCCAUUGCACUCUGGAUGUGCUGACCCCUGCGAUUUCCCCAAAUGAGGGAAACUCAACUGCAUAAUUUGUGGUAGUCGGGGACUGCGUUUGUGCUCUCCCCUG